rnacentral:rRNA from 1 species
GUCUUCUUGGUUAAAUAAGAAGUCUGACCUGCCCGGUGAAUAAGUAUUUAACGGCCGCGGUAUUUUGACCGUGCAAAGGUAGCAUAAUCAUUAGUCUUUUAAUAGAGGGCUGGAAUGAAGGGUUUGACGAAAUGCAUACUGUCUCAUUUAAUUUGAAAUUUGAAUUUGACUUUUUAGUUAAAAGGCUAAAUUGUUAUUGGAAGACGAGAAGACCCUAUAGAGCUUUAUAUUCCAAAAUUUAAAGAAUUUUUGUUUAAUUAUUAUUUUUUAAAUGGGAGAAUAUUUUGUUGGGGUGACAAAAACAUAUAAUAAACUUUUUUAUUUAAGUAACAUUGAUAUAUGAACAUUAGAUCCAUUAUUAUUGAUUGUUAGAGAAAGUUACCUUAGGGAUAACAGCGUAAUCUUCCUUCAGAGUUCAAAUUUACAGGAAGGCUUGCGACCUCGAUGUUGGAUUAAGAUAAUAAUUAGGUGCAGCCGCUUAAUUAAUAGGUCUGUUCGACCUUUAAAUUCUU